AACAGUCCAUUGAGUCCAGCAAAGGUGUCGUCUGCAUUCUAUAUCAUUACUGUCUAAUUUUCACACGAGGAUAAUAGUCAAAGUGAAAAUGCAUUGGAUACCUAUAGAAGAAAUCCCUAACAGUAUUUUGUAUAGUGAUUCGCUCGAAGAGUAUGUCAUAGACGCAAGGGAUUCAAGAAGCCCAAAAGAAAUAAAUGAAGUCAUCGAACGCCACAAGGCAAGUUGUCAUUUGCUGAAGGAGGAGGAUUGUAAACUCCAAAUGAUAGAAAACUCACAAAUGAAUCUAACAGAUUAUACCGAAAGCAGCAGUGGCCGUUGGAUAGUGCAGCACAAUACCAAUCGGGGGCAUCACUGAAAACAUAAUGGAAUGUUAUAUUGUAAUACUCAAUGCAGUUCUAUGUGGAUUUUCAUUGUGUUGUAAUUUCAAUUUCCAUUGUGAUAUAAAUGAAAUGUGAGAGACAGCA